GGCGUUUAAAGGGGAAGUGGCGACGCGGCAAAGAUCCGUUUCCUUUUCGCGAACGUGGCUCGAUUUUACUCUCCCAAUAGCCCUGCGAGGUAGGAGAACCGCGGUGAGACUCAGCAUUGCGAAGCGGAGCCUGGUCUGCAGGAAGCGGGACCGUCCGGGGCGGAGAUGGUCACGGCGCAGGCCCAGUGCAGGAUUACUCAGAAGUAAGCCCCUUGGAGCUUCGUGCAACUCGCUUCUCUGAAGGGGCAGGCGGGGAAUAAAAGGGAUCCAGGGAACCUGCUCAAGCCGGGAUCCACUGGCUGACAAUCCGCUCCCACAGACCCUUUUUCUCAACAUGUCUUUGGAGAUCCGGCUGCGUCUGUACUGGAACUUAAGAAUGCGUUUUAAGAUGUUUUAUCACUUGUUGUUUGCCACCUUGGGCCUCUUUGGGAGGAAGGUUGCGAUAUGAACAUAAUAAACCAGGGAAAGAAUGAAAGAAAAGAGUUUUCUGAUUCAGAAUAUGAGAGUACAACCUUUGGCUGAUUAAUAUUCUACUACAGCAUUUUAAAUGUGUUUGGGUGGGUUAUUGUUUUGUUGUUUCUGUUUUAACUGUUCGUGCUUUUAUCUUGUAUUUUUUAUCUCGUGAACUGCCCUGAGAUCUUUCUGUUAAUCAGUUUCAUUAAGAGUUUUCAACGUGCGAUACAAUAAAAACCAAACUAAAUAAAAUUAAAAUUAAAAAUACAGAAGAAGAAAAAUAAAUGAGGGAAGGGG